rnacentral:rRNA from 1 species
GCCUUUCGAAAGAAAGAUUAAUACCCGAUGGCAUAGUUCUUCCGCAUGGUAGAACUAUUAAAGAAUUUCGGUCAUCGAUGGGGAUGCGUUCCAUUAGGUUGUUGGCGGGGUAACGGCCCACCAAGCCUUCGAUGGAUAGGGGUUCUGAGAGGAAGGUCCCCCACAUUGGAACUGAGACACGGUCCAAACUCCUACGGGAGGCAGCAUG